CUUUUCAUCCAGAUUGUUGUCUAGCCUGUCAUAUGACUGAGGCAACGGUGCUCAGACAGCUGUGACAAACGCAACAGUGGAGUGGAAACGCUGUCAUAAUACGUGUAACUUUAACCCACACCCUUUGUGUUUCGUCAGUCACACGGCUCAUCAGUAAAGGCGGGGGUGUACUGAUUGUCAGCUGAGAUAGGCUCCAGAAUGCCUGAGCCCCUUGUGAGGAAUAAGCACCCAAGAUGCUGGUUCAGCUCGCUGAAAAACACAUACAACCACUGCCCAGGGGUCAUGUUGUCAGCCCUGGACCGAAGCAAGAGGGGGUUCAAGUACAUCCAGACAAAUGCACCGCUGAAGGAGUGAUUACGCAAAAAGCAUCCUUUUGAUUCUGUUUGACCCAAAGGGCGAAAUCUUAAUUCAGGGAAAGUGACAGCAUGCAGUGAGUUUUGUUCCCACUUGUUAUUUUACUCCAAAACUAAAAAAAAAAUGUGUUUUAGAAACAGAAAGAAUUUAGAUUUAGUUCCUAAAAAAUAAAGUGUGACAGAUGAAAGAACAAAACAAAGAAGUGGGAAGUUUAUUUAAGCAUAUUACUGAACUGAGUGAACCCAAUUCUAUAACACAUUUUUAGAAUACAUAUUGAUUAAAUGCUCCCCAACAUUCUCCUACAAAUCUAUAUUAUGACUCAUCUCAUCUCUCUAACUAAGUCAGUGAAUUAUUUGACCCUGUGCCACAUUUAAACUCUAAUGAUACAGCUGUUUGAACUACAAUAAGAUAUUAUGAUAUGCAGGUAGUGUAUAAAUACUGUAAGUAGCCUAAUUCCUCUGUAUUAUCAUGUAAGUCUUCUGGUUCCUCAAUAUUAAAAAGGAGAGGAACUAUAAGAACAAUUUAAAUAAGAACAUGAACAGACAGCUCUGUUCAAAUACAAAAAUACAAAAUAGAGUAUGUUAGAAAUACAGUACUGCUCUGCUUUUUCAUGAAAUUCUAAACACCCACCUGGUGCUAUUAAUGUGGUGGUAAGCAGGUACUUUCCCUGGUGCGACGUCGGUCACGUGGCGUAAACCCUCGCAUACUAACAUCUGCCCACUGCUCCGCAUUAUUGCACUCUGAUGAUAGCCAGCAUUAUUAAUGCUGUGGCUGUAACAGAAUUCAGAUUCUCAUACCCAGUGGCAGCUAGUAUGUAGCCAUCAAGCGCCCUUCUAGACUCCCACUGCUUGGCUUAUUGUGUAACACAGCCCAGAAAAGGUUGCGAACAGCUGACCUUCACUUUUGUGUCGAGGUGAGCGAGAGGCCCUUCAGUGCUCCGUGUCCACACACAGCUAAUUCCUGCUGGCUUUGCACCAGCUUGGUCUACUGCCCAACCCAGGUUCCUCCACUCAUGUUGGCUGUCUCUCCUCAUCACACAGAGAUUAAUAUCAAGUGAUUGGCAGCCAUGUUCUCACUUAGCACUCCAGUCAUGGUGCCCCAGGGUGUCUGCCAGUCGUAAAACAACAGUGCAAGUGCCACUGCGGCGUUCACUGUCAUUUAGCCAGUAUCCAGCCGCAGCAGAAAAAGGAUGAAAAGUGCCAACGACCAAAUUGAAUUAUGAGCUUGACUCAGCCCCGGCCAUAUAUACAGCCCAGCACAGGGAGCCAUUUCCUGCUGAAACGCCUCUUGCUGCAGAUUACUGAGGUAAUAUUUCCUGCGCUGCAACUAGAGUGGUUAUGGGCCACAGGCAAUCUACCUGACGCAGCUUAUGCCCACAGAGCAGCGGCUGCCAUGAAAGAGGAGGCGCUGACCCAUGGUGGAAUUGCGCUUAUUUAUCACACGGUGACUAAAAAGGUGAGGUGCUUUUUAAUGAGAACACCAAGUAUAACUUUUCACACCAUUGUGGAGCCAUGAGUGUCUGAACAGUGACCACAUGCAUAAUUAUAGACACACACACAACAGCGAGUUGUAGUCUCCAUUACCAGAGUCAAAUUAAGGUUAUAGGAGGAUGUGGAAUAUGUCUUUUUGCUUGAUGAAAAUAGGCUUUAGGGAUAUGCAGCCAGGAUCCCAUGAGUGUGUUCCUGGCUGACAUUUUGCUGAUACAGAGCAAUAUUGGCACACUGGUAGACCUGCUGUUGGUGUGUUCUGGAAGCCAGCCAAAGUCAAACUGAAAGAAAGAAGGAGAGCGACUAUGGGAAAAGGGAGAGAGAGAAACUAGUGGCAAGCUUUAAAUAUCAGCUCAUUAGCCACCUAUAAACUCAUCUAAUGAGCACUCAUGGAUUUUUCAUUCCCUUUAAUCCGGUGGAGGUUGGAGAAAGGCGAGCACCCUUGCUUGUUUCCCCUCAGGUUUUGUUGUACUUGCCAAGGCUAUAAUGUAUACGAUUCUCUUCUAAUGGCCGACCAACAUGCACAAGCUCCAAGUCACACAUUCUCAAUCGAUGUAACUGGGGAAAGAUCGUCCAAUAUUCUCUUUUAGUUUUCAGUUUAUGCUUCAUUUUGAAGCAUCAUCAAAAGUCCCAUUAAAUUUGCUAAUACAUUUAUGAACAAAUAAUCAUUUCAGUGUUGACAAAUGCUUGUGCAGCAGGUCACUUGUAAAACAUAUUUCCACAUACACUACUCCCUAAAAUAAUGUAAACAUAAGCAGGAGCAACUUGAUACAAAAUAAAGCCGACUCUAACUAGAUUCACAUACAAACAGAAUAACAGGCCAGAGACAAAAUAACAAACUUUUUCAAUAUCAAAUACAAACAAGCACUUACUUAGUUAAUUCAUUUAAUCUAUCAAAAGCAGUCAAAUUAUUAAACAAGGCAGAUUUCGAGAACAACGUUCAUAGUCCAUGUGUAUGUGAUGAUCCUGAUUAGACUGAGAUAGGAGACAGAAAAAGCAAAUGAUCCACAAACUAAAACAAAACAAGGGUCGGAGCGCUGAAUUGUAACCAGUGGGGUGCGGUGAGGUCCAUGGCUGGUGAGGCACAAAGUCCUCUAGAGUCAGAUUUUACAAUUAUAAUACCUUAAAAGAGUUUAUUUUUCACUAUUUAACUGUCAGAAUGACAUAUUAAUACAUUUCACUAUUUAUUAUCAUACCUACUGUAUCUCACCUUAAGCAACAUAUUUGGUCUUGAAGAAACAUAUCUUUUGUAGCAGACCUGACCUUUAGCCUCCAUAUACAGUAUUUUUCACAAUUCAUACUCAUUCUAAAGUAUAGAGAGGUGUAAAUGUUCAAUUUUGACCCUUAGUGAAGUUUUAUGUUGUUUUUAAAACUUGGUUUUGUUUGGUUUAAUCAGUUUUACAGGUUUGCUCUUCAUUAGGAUAACAUAGAAUGCUUUACUCAAGAUUCAAAUUUACUUCUUAAGCACUUGAAUUGUUUUAGUUAGUGUCAUUCAGUAAGUCUUUGUAGAAAAUAAAAACCCAUUUGUGGGGAUACAGUGCUUUAAAGGGUGGUAGCAGCGCCCCCUUCUGGAUGAGGCACAAACCUGUCCAGCCUCCCCUCAUGAGUUUUCUCUGUCGGUUUUAACGCAAUCAGUAACUAUGUCACAAAAACAUCGAUAAACACAUUAGGCAGGUUGUACAAAGUCAUGGUGUAGAAUAAAUCUGUCUGAAGGCUGCAAACAUUAUAUUGGAGACAAAAUGUCAAACAGAAACGGAUUACGCCCUGUAUCAGCCCAUUUACUGACAGUUUCAGCAUCAGGGCUGAGGCUCCACUCGCUGGCACCUCACGUCCAGUUUCUCGCCAUAUUAGAUUUUUACUCGGAAAAAUGUUAAGAUAACUGAAAUUAUAGACAAAAUAUAUGUAUUGUAUAAUAUGUAUAACACAGAUCAAUGGACAGAAAUCUCAGGUUAUGGUAUUGUCAGGCAAGGUGAGGCCCCGCCUCCCCUGUCUACCCUGACUGCACGUCACUGAUUGUAACAUACCUACCUUUGAUUUUUCUUUCUCUAAUUCUUAUUAUAAUAAACGUAAUUAUACAUUAUAGUCAUCAAUUUCUGCACAAACCAGAUUCACCGGGAUUAUUUCCACUCCUUUGUGCAAGUUUCAUCAGCUUUAAAACUUCGGUUUGCUGCAGCUCCUUCAGAUGAGACAGGAACAGAUUUUUGUUAAAAGAUCAAGUGUUCACAAUAAAAGAUCAUUAUGCUUUCAAGCCAAAGUCUUUUUCCAUGCACAAAGGAGUGCGUUUGAUUCCUGGCAGCCCUGACAUUUCCUUAAAUCCAGCCCCUCUAUCAAUAACAGCUGUGUUGCAAUGUCUUUCUUUUAUGAUUUUAUAGGAAAGGAAUCUGUCAUGUUCAAAGGCUCCCUGCAGUGAAAUAUAAUUUCAAAGGUGCAUAAACUCUCAUGUCUACAGGGCCAAUCAAAAGAGAUGCAUUUCAUUUGUGUUUAAUGAAAUGACAAAGAUAAAAAGAAACAUUUCCAUCAGUGUUGUCUUUAUUGUGUUUUGCAAGUGUUCGGUUCUUGCCUCUUGUAACAGUGUGUGAAGAUUAUGUUUUUGAGAUGAUCAUUUUAUUCUAUGUAAAAUCCUUGCGCAUUAAACACUUACUCCC